rnacentral:lncRNA from 1 species
GAAUGAGAGGCUAGUGGCAAGGUGAAGAGCCUCACUCAUUGAGCAGCCGAACAAACAUAUAAAAUUCACCCAAACCCACAUUCACAGUUUCUUUUUUGAAUAGGAAUCUUUUUACCCAUUUCCCCACAAAAAUUACUAUAACCACAGUCUACAGUGAAUUGAAAUAAAGCAACAAACACCCUCAUGUGUCUCCAACUGGUGCUCCUCCUUUUCAUGCCUCCCCCCUCAUUUCUUUAUUUCCUCUGCUUACACUGCCCUCUUAGUCUUCGUCAACUUUUGGAGGAAGCAUCCUAACCGUGGGAUUUGUGGGGCUGUGUCUUUUGGAGGGCCGAGAUCCAAACAGUCAUCAAAGCCUAUGUCUUAGGUGUAAUCUACUGAGCAUGUGGAGGAUUAAUAUUUAAGUGGUGAUUAAUAGUUAUAAUUAUUGAAAAAGAUAGGAUAUAGAAUAGAAGCAUCACAAGUUCACAACCAAGGGAAGAAGAAUGGGUAAUUUAAUGGAAAGGUGAGGACAAGGACUGGCAUUGUCAGCCAAUCUAGACCAUAUAAA